GGAUUCCCCUAGUAAUGGCGAAUGCAAGCGGGAACAGCUCAAAUUUGAAAUCUCCGUCGCCUGCGACGGCGAAUUGUAGUUUCUAGAAGCACUUUCUAGGCGAUUCGGGGCCGUCCAAGUUGCUUGGAACAGCACGUCAUAGAGGGUGACAACCCCGUCUGUGGCGGAACCGGGCGCUGACGAUGUGCUUUCGACGAGUCGGGUUGUUUGGGAAUGCAGCCCAAAAUGGGUGGUAAACUCCAUCUAAAGCUAAAUACUGGCACGAGACCGAUAGCGAACAAGUACCGUGAGGGAAAGAUGAAAAGCACUUUGAAAAGAGAGUUAAAAAGUACGUGAAACCGUUAAAAGGGAAACGAAUGAGGUUAGCAAUGCGCUCUGCGAGAUUCAGCCGGUGGCCGGGCUGGGCGAGCGGUUUGCGGAUCUGAAUGGACCGCGGCCGUUCGGGUCGGUCCCUCGACCGUCGCACUUCUCACGAGCGCGCGUCAGUGUCGGUUGGAACUGGGUUUUAAAGUCGCCGGGAAGGUAGGUCAGUCCCUCCGGGGUCAGACUGUUAUAGACCGGUGUUCUUAUGGCCCGGAUCCUACCGAGGUGCCGCGGCGCGUGCCUCUUCUGGCUGGGGUCCCGUCGUUCCGGUCGGUAGUCGACUGUGGUGGACUGCGUGCAGUGCAUCGCGACUGCUGCCGGUCGAUUCGGCGGUGACCUCACACAACGCGCCCAGGACGCUGACGGUGACAUGGCCUCAUCCGACCCGUCUUGAAACACGGACCAAGGAGUCUAACAUGUGCGCGAGUCUUUGAGUGAUCGAAACUCGCAGGCGGAAUGAAAGUGAAGGUGGCUUCGGCCGCUGAGGUGAGAACCCCUCCUUGCGGGGGGCGCAUCAUCGACCGACCUAUUCUACUCUUAGGAAGGUU
rnacentral:rRNA from 1 species